UGGGGAAUAUUGCACAAUGGAGGGAACUCUGAUGCAGCGACGCCGCGUGAACGAAGAAGGCUUUCGAGUCGUAAAGUUCUUUUAUAUGGGAAGAUAAUGACGGUACCAUAAGAAAAAGCCCCGGCUAACUACGUGCCAGCAGCCGCGGUAAUACGUAGGGGGCUAGCGUUGUCCGGAAUCACUGGGCGUAAAGGGUUCGCAGGCGGAAAUGCAAGUCAGGUGUAAAAGGCAGUAGCUUAACUACUGUAAGCAUUUGAAACUGCAUAUCUUGAGAAGAGUAGAGGUAAGUGGAAUUUUUAGUGUAGCGGUGAAAUGCGUAGAUAUUAAAAAGAAUACCGGUGGCGAAGGCGACUUACAGGGCCCAUUCUGACGCUGAGGAACGAAAGCGUGGGUAGCAAACAGG
rnacentral:rRNA from 1 species